rnacentral:rRNA from 1 species
CUCAGGAUGAACGCUAGCUACAGGCUUAACACAUGCAAGUCAGGGGCAGCAUGAUCUUAGCUUGCUAAGAUUGAUGGCGACCGGCGCACGGGUGAGUAACGCGUAUCCAACCUUCCCUAUAGUAGGGGAUAGCCCGGCGAAAGUCGGAUUAAUACCCUAUGUUCUUCUUUGAUGGCAUCUGACGAGAAGCAAAGGCUUGCCGCUAUAGGAUGGGGAUGCGUCUGAUUAGGUUGUUGGCGGGUAACGGCCACCAAGCCUUCGAUCAGUAGGGGUUCUGAGAGGAAGGUCCCCCACAUUGGUACUGAGACACGGACCAAACUCCUACGGGAGGCAGCAGUGAGGAAUAUUGGUCAAUGGGCGAGAGCCUGAACCAGCCAAGUAGCGUGCAGGAUGACUGCCCUAUGGGUUGUAAACUGCUUUUAUAGGGGAAUAAAGUGAGGCACGUGUGCCUUUUUGUAUGUACCCUAUGAAUAAGGACCGGCUAAUUCCGUGCC